AUUGAACGCUGGCGGCAUGCCUUACACAUGCAAGUCGAACGGCAGCAUAGAGAGCUUGCUCUCUGAUGGCGAGUGGCGAACGGGUGAGUAAAGCAUCGGAACGUACCGUGUAGUGGGGGAUAACGUAGCGAAAGUUACGCUAAUACCGCAUACGCACUGAGGUGGAAAGCAGGGGAUCGUAAGACCUUGCGCUAUACGAGCGGCCGAUGUCAGAUUAGCUAGUUGGUAGGGUAAAGGCCUACCAAGGCGACGAUCUGUAGCGGGUCUGAGAGGAUGAUCCGCCACACUGGGACUGAGACACGGCCCAGACUCCUACGGGAGGCAGCAGUGGGGAAUUUUGGACAAUGGGGGCAACCCUGAUCCAGCCAUGCCGCGUGAGUGAAGAAGGCCUUCGGGUUGUAAAGCUCUUUCGGCCGGGAAGAAAUCGCACAGGCUAAUACCCUGUGUGGAUGACGGUACCGGCAUAAGAAGCACCGGCUAACUACGUGCCAGCAGCCGCCGUAA
rnacentral:rRNA from 1 species